CAGAACACGAGGUAACACUGUAGCAUGUACUGCUUGGAGAUCUUUAACAUUGUGAAUAUCUCUGCUGGGUUUCUUGCAUUGCCAAGUGGAUGGAAAUGUGAGGGAUUAUUUUCAAGCAUUUUCUUGAAUUUUUCAGGAAAACUCAUGAUCUACCUUUGAUGUGUUGACAUGUGAGAAACAGCUCUGAGACCUAUCAGCUGACAACUGCUACACCAGCAGAUAAUACUUAGUCACACUUUACAAAGGAAAAAGAAAAAGACAAAGAGGAAGACAAAGAAGGGAAAAAGGAAGAGGAGGCAGAGGAAGAAGAAAUUUGCACUUCUCCCUGAAAUGAGGGGAAGGACUCGGUCAGUGUGAAAGGAUAUCCGUGUUAUGGAGGAAGCAAGCUUUGUAUCCAGAAAAGAAUGGUUCCUCUACCAGUCCACCCCAAAAUUUCUGGCAUGUUUUGUGACUAAGAAAAUGGCUCCCGCAGAG
rnacentral:lncRNA from 1 species